rnacentral:lncRNA from 1 species
UUGAAAAGUAAAUGAGAGCCACACCUGUGUUCAUUUCAAACUUGACCUUGACUUUGAACCAGUAUCUUUACAGAUGAGAUGCAGUGUGUUACAUCCUUAGAAGAUGUUUAUUACAAAGGAAGGUAGUAGAGGACAGUGGGAACAAAAAGAUAAAUCUGUGCAUGGUAAAAUGAUUUUGCUCAAGGUUAGCAGUCUAUAUUGUCAUUUUAAAGGAGAGAAUGAAGGGAACUUUUUUCUUCAAGUACCUCUGUGGUGAUUGAAUAAAUAGCUGACUAUCAUAGUAGGA